AUAGCCCAGAGUGCUGCUGCUGGCACUUCGGGGAGCAGGGAUGGAUUGUCGUGGCUGCGUGGGCAAGGGGCUGGUGCACAAUCUAAUGGACACGUGGAGGAAAACCUAGCUUUGCGCCAGAGUCUGAGAAUCAGGGCUAUCGGCUCUAACUUCCAUCCUAACACCAAUUUUAAGGGAGUACCCUACUUUCUCAACUUCAAAAUCCUCCCACGCACCAUCUCCCCCAACAGGUGGACACCUCACCUGCGCAGGAGUCUUACUGAAUGCUAAACAGCCUCGUUGAAAGAACGGUGAAUCUGAGCGAAGACAAACUACUGAAAGGCUCAGAGGAUGAGGUGGCUCUUCUUGCAAGCACCAACCCCUUCAGGUCCUGAAAUCUACCCUCCUACCUGCCUCUAACUUUAGGUACGUAACAAAGUGAUAACAACUUUGACUGUUUG